CCAUCUCACCUGCCUUUCCUGCCUCAGGGCCCUGAGCCCUGCCGGCUCAUAUUCCCCUCUGAGCAACCUCACAUAUCCUGGGGAAGCCGUUCUUAGGUGGUUAUGGUAAGAUCUUGGUCUGACCAUCUCUGCUUCCUGGCCCUCGAGUUGCUGGGGUCCUGCCAAAGUCCAUGGUCCUGGGAACUCCCCCCUGGGCCUAGCUUUCUCCAGCUGCAAGCUGCCUGCCCUGUUGAAUGCCUUGGGGUUCCUUCUGGCCCAUCCAUGAGCAGGGGUCCAAAGGCUCUCUCCUUCAGGAAAGGGCCUAGCAUUUUGCUCCUCCACAAUGGCUUUGUGGGUGACCUGCCAGUUCACAUUUUCUUCAGAUUCUUCCUCAUUGUGGGGUCUGGCCCAUCUCCUGGGCCUCUGGGAAUUUCAGGCCCUGCCCCCUCCCUCCUUCCUUGUCUGCAGCUCCUGAGGCCUGCUCUCUUGGAGGUAGCACCCGGUUCCUCCUAGGCCCUUUAACCACAGGAAGAAAAGAACAGAUAUCCCAGGGAUAUCAACUGAACAUGACAUCACAAGAUGCAAUAAGACUAGGCGUCCAUCCUAGCUGACCUCUGAAAUGGAGAAACCUAAAGGAAACAGGCGGGACUUUGCCUCCCCAGCCCCAGGAAUGGCUUUUCUGUGGCCACCUCUGAGCUCUCUGUCAAGCCCUCCCACACACUUCAAGAUUGGUGCCUGGAGCCCCGAGCAGGCCUCUUGUGGCCCGGGCUCUGCUGAGAAUGCCAUCGGGGGACACACAGCCCAGUCUCCUGGGAACCAUAGGAAAUCUGGGUUAGAGCAGGAUUCGGGACACCUUUGGGCCGGCCUAGGCCUCUUUUAUUCCACUCCUCUUUCCCCACACCCAACCCUCCACCCCAGUCUGUCACCUCCACCGUCGCCCUGGUCUCCCAGCCUCUGUGGAGCUGGGACCUUUUUGGGGCUACAACUGAAAGAUAAAAUAAAAUAAAAUAAAAUAAAAUAAAAGCUUCUCCACUCAGGCCCAAUGCUGGUUGCUUGGAGGGCUCAGCUUGCAAUGGGGCUCCUGAGGCGGGGCCCUGUGUUGGUAGCUACCAGGCUCCCUGCAGUGUCUCCAGGGCACUUCACUCUUUGAUUCUUCCCUAGGGACCCAGGGCUUAGCCAUGCUGGCUGAGGGUCCAAGCAGAGUGCUGGGUUUCCUGACUUCCACCACACUAGACCUCUUCAGGCCUGACUGCCCCUCCUGUAUCCACUUCCAUAAACAGAUGGAGCCGCCCACUGGUUUAUGAACCAAGGGUUUGGCUGACCCACUAGGAUGACCUGAAAAGGGAAGGGUGAGGAUUGGGAUUGCCCAUUUGAGCUCCAGAGCCUCUGUUUGCACAUCUGUGAAAUGGAGCCAGCUACAUCCUCUGGCCAAGUUGUAGUGUGGAAGUGAAGACCUGAGAGCCGAGGUGCCUGUCCCCUAGGCACGGCUCGCCAGGCAGUUCCAAAAGUCGGCCGAGGGCACUGCCCACGUUAGGGUUAGGCUUGCUUGCCAGAAUGAAACAAAGUACUACCGAGUAAUACAGGGAGAUGGGGAGGGGACUCUGUUGCCUGGUCAGGGAGGUGUCCUGGAAGGACAUCCCUGCUCCCACCUGUCCUUUCUGAGCUCUGAACCCAAUGGACUCCCUUCCUCCUCCUGCAUGGCUCGGGCAUGGUAGUUGCACUGUUUGCUUUCACGGCCUCCGUGCAGCUGGCAUUAGGAUGCCUGCAGGAGCUGCCGCCACUCUUUGGCUUUCUAAAGUCUCUGGGUUCUAAAUACCACCCAUAGGCUGACAGCCCUCAGGUCGCCAGACCAGAGCGGUCUUCAGCCUCUGCGUGCUUCCCUAUCAGAAGUUCAGCAGCUGCUGAGGGCCAUCCUUGUCUCUGUUUUUGUUCCCCAAAUCUUAUGCUGCAGCACCUCCCAGGAAAUUCUCCCAGAAGAGUGACCCCUCUAGGGUCCACCUGUGACCCCUCUGGGAACCCCUGGCCCCAGGCUACAAACCACACCACCUUUCCCUAGGUGGCUGUGACAGCCCCCAACUGUCUUCUGAACCAUCCCAAACACUAAGUCAGUCUCCAUGGCCCAGUGGGCACUACCGGGCAUGGCUUGGCUAUAUUCUUCAUCUGCUUGUCUUCAUAGCCUCAGGGUACCUGUUCUUCUCCCGGGGGGGGGGGGUUCCCUGAACCUCUGUUUCUCCCUGUACGUCCCAGCAACACACUGCUGUGGCAUUUGUGGCAUCUGAAUUGGGCCAAGGCCCACAUGGUGGCUCCACCCCACCUUGCUAGUGAUUGGUUUAGGAAUUGCUGCAUGACUCAGGUCCCAUCAAAGUAUGGAAGUGGGGGGUACUGAGGGGAGCGGACCAGGGCUUCCCCUAGAUGCCCUUGUAUGUCCUUGAGAUGCAGGAACUCCUAGCCUUCCCUGUAGUACUCUCUGGGAGGCUCCUGACUUGCUGGGGUGGCUAAGGGAUAAGAGUAAAAUAAAGCCAAGGAUGUCCCUGACAGCAUCUCUUGGAACUCACUUGGUGGAGUUUUUACAGGUUUAACAUGUUUUUCUAAAGCUGUCACCCUGGCACUUAAAUUGACUAUCUUUUUAAAUAGUAAAAUGAGGAUAAGCAUAGUAAUAAAAUGCAUAAUUCGAUCAACAUUAAUCUUCCCAUAUAGGUGUUCCAUUGUCAGACUGUCUAAAAUUGCAAACAAAGCCCAAUUUUCUUCCAAUGUACACAGAAAACCCAUUUUUUUUUUAAUGUGGAAAAAAAAUUUUUUCUUUUAAAUAGUUUCCUUUAAAAUAUCUGAUAUGUUAAGUGACUUACCAAGUCCUCGUAGAACAGUACCAAUCCGAGGGAAUUUCAAAACAGCCACCUAGUGUCCGAGGUGUGAGUCCAGAGAGAGAGAGAGAGAGAGAGAGAAAGAGAGAGAGAGAGAGAGAGAGAGAGAGAGAGAAAGCGUAGCCACAAGUUCUGCCUAAGAGCUUGAAUCCAGCCACGUGUUCCCGCUUGAGCUUAGUCAAGCCUUGGCUCUGACUACUUUAAACUCCAACCAUGUGCGUUGGCUUUACAGGCAGGGGCCCUGUUCGGCAGGGCAGGCCUGAGUUGUUUGUAGCACUGGCUUUAAGCAAGUAGCUCAAGGUUGGUCCGGCCUGAGGCCAAGCCGACCUGGGCCCGGGCUAGGGAGCCGGCCACCCUGGCGGGAAACCGGACCUGCCAUUAAACGGUUUUUAACGGAUUCUUGUCACGUUGGGCGCCAAAUGUAGAUGUAACCUACUGUCUUAUUAAAUAAGAAACACAGAGCCGAUUCAGAGAAGAAAGCUAAGAGGUCAGAACUAAGAGCUUUACCCUUCCUGCUUCAGCUAUCCUGCUUCAGCCAAGAGAGCUCUCUGAAAAAAGGGGCCUACUUCCUGUGUGUAUGUCUUUAAAUAGUCUAACUGUUCUGCCUUCUCAUUGGUUGUAAACCUAAACACGUGACUGCCUUGUCACUGCCUGUAUGUACCACCCUCCGGGUCCUUAAAGGCGUGCGCCACCACCGCCACGCACUUGCUAUGGCUCUAAUAGCUCUGACCCCCAGGCAACUUUAUUUAUUAACAUACAAUUAAAAAUCACAUUUCAGUACAAGUAAACUACCACCACAGAGUAAAAUAAAGCCAAGGAUGUCCCUGACAGCAUCUCUUGGAACUCACUUGGUGGAUCUUGUGUGACUUACAGCCAUGUUUCAUCACCACGCCAUCUGCAUGUCAUUCCCCACUCCUGAAGACAGUGGAAGAUUGGGGCUCAGUGUGGGGUCCCAGAGUAAGAGCUCUGUUUCUAGGUCUGAUGCAGCCACAGGGCACGUCAAUAGAAGCACA